CCCAGGUGCUGCCCUCCUGGUGGGACCCAACUUCAUUCGUAAGGACCUUUCUGCAGAGCAUGAAACAAAAACUGCCUAACCGUCUGCUCCGUUAGGCCAUCAAAGAUUCAAGCAAGCAGCAAGCAGAAAGAGAGAGAGCCCAAAGAUAAGGAGCUGACAAAUGAUCGGAUGAGGAGACUGCGGUUCAGUGAUCUUCAUUCCAUUACGCUUGCGGUCCUUGCAAAUGCACAGCACUAGUCACCU
rnacentral:lncRNA from 1 species